rnacentral:rRNA from 2 species
GACGAACGCUGGCGGCGUGCCUAAUACAUGCAAGUCGAACGAACUCUGGUAAUGAUUGGUGCUUGCAUCAUGAAUUGCAUUUGAGUGAGUGGCGAACUGGUGAGUAGCACGUGGGAAACCUGCCCAGAAGCGGGGGAUAACACCUGGAAACAGAUGCUAAUACCGCAUAACAACUUGGACCGCAUGGUCCGAGUUUGAAAGAUGGCUUCGGCUAUCACUUUUGGAUGGUCCCGCGGCGUAUUAGCUAGAUGGUGAGGUAACGGCUCACCAUGGCAAUGAUACGUAGCCGACCUGAGAGGGUAAUCGGCCACAUUGGGACUGAGACACGGCCCAAACUCCUACGGGAGGCAGCAGUAGGGAAUCUUCCACAAUGGACGAAAGUCUGAUGGAGCAACGCCGCGUGAGUGAAGAAGGGUUUCGGCUCGUAAAACUCUGUUGUUAAAGAAGAACAUAUCUGAGAGUAACUGUUCAGGUAUUGACGGUAUUUAACCAGAAAGCCACGGCUAACUACGUG